rnacentral:rRNA from 1 species
GACGAACGCUGGCGGCGUGCUUAACACAUGCAAGUCGAACGGAAAGGCCCUGCUUUUGUGGGUUGCUCGAGUGGCGAACGGGUGAGUAACACGUGAGUAACCUGCCCUUGACUUUGGGAUAACUUCAGGAAACUGGGGCUAAUACCGGAUAUGAGCUCCUGCUGCAUGGUGGGGGUUGGAAAGUUUCGGCGGUUGGGGAUGGACUCGCGGCUUAUCGGCUUGUUGGUGGGGUAGUGGCUUACCAAGGCUUUGACGGGUAGCCGGCCUGAGAGGGUGACCGGCCACAUUGGGACUGAGAUACGGCCCAGACUCCUACGGGAGGCAGCAGUGGGGAAUAUUGCACAAUGGGCGGAAGCCUGAUGCAGCAACGCCGCGUGCGGGAUGACGGCCUUCGGGUUGUAAACCGAUUUCGCCGGUGACGAAGCGUGAGUGACGGUAAUGGGUAAAGAAGCACCGGCUAACUACGUG